rnacentral:rRNA from 1 species
GUAAGGAAUUUUUCGCAAUGGGGGAAACCCUGACGAAGCGACACCGCGUGAAGGAUGAAGGGCUUUUGCUUGUAAACUUCUUUUUUGAGGGAAUAAAUAUGAAGGUACCUCAAGAAUAAGCAUCGGCUAACUACGUGCCAGCAGCCGCGGUAAGACGUAGGAUGCAAACGUUAUCCGGAAUUACUGGGCGUAAAGAGUUUGUAGGCGUUUUGUUAAGUAGAAUAUUAAAGACUCGAGCUUAACUCGGGGAAGGUAUUCUAGACUGGCAGAAUAGAGUGAUGCAGAGGCAAGUGGAAUUCUGUGUGUAGGGGUAAUAUCCGUAGAUAUACAGAGGAACACCAAAAGCGAAGGCAGCUUGCUGGGCAUUUACUGACGCUCAAGAACGAAAGCGUGGGGAGCAAACAGGAUUAGAUACCCGGGUAGUCC